rnacentral:ncRNA from 1 species
GGCAGAGUAAGGAUACAGGCGUAAAGUGUUUCGGGCACGGGGAGUUGGUCCGAAAACGAAGCAAGCCGCGAUCUGUAUCCUGCAUCCCGCUGUC